rnacentral:misc_RNA from 1 species
AACGCACGAGACCUGCGGACCUGCGGAAGGAUCAUCAUUGAUAUAAUUUGCAGAAAAUUUUUUUCUUGCAAAGCAACAAACAACUUACACACCCAAAAAGUUAAGAAAAAAAACGUGGCUGCCUGAUUAACAAGUGUUUUGGUAAAAUUGAUUGAAAAAAAACAACUUUCAACAACGGAUCUCU